CAGCAGCCGCGGUAAUACGUAGGGUGCGAGCGUUAAUCGGAUUUACUGGGCGUAAAGCGUGCGCAGGCGGCCCGUUAAGACAGGUGUGAAAUCCCUGGGCUCAACCUAGGAAUUGCGCUUGUGACUGGCGGGCUCGAGUACGGUAGAGGGGGGUGGAAUUCCUGGUGUAGCAGUGAAAUGCGUAGAGAUCAGGAGGAACACCGAUGGCGAAGGCAGCCCCCUGGGCCUGUACUGACGCUCAUGCACGAAAGCAUGGGCAGCAAACAGGAUUAGAUACCCUGGUAGUCCACGCCCUAAACGAUGGGUGCUAGCCGUUUGGUGCGCGAUAGCGCUGAGUGGCGAAGCUAACGCGAGAAGUACCCCGCCUGGGGAGUACGGCCGCAAGGUUGAAACUUAAAGGAAUUGGCGGG
rnacentral:rRNA from 1 species